AUGCCGGAAGACAAAAACUGUAAACUGCCGCAGCCACCCAGGAGCGGUGACAAGAAGAAGAGGAAGAAAAGAAAGAAAAGGAGGAAACCCUCAGCUUCCACCUCUCCCCCAGAAAACACAGAUAAUCCUCAGGCUGCUUCUCUGCCUCCUGAAACCCCUCUGGUGUCCCUGCUGGCCCCACAGAGUCCGGGUCGGUCUCCUGGCCGGCUGCCCAAGCUCAGAGCCGCUAGUAAGAAGAACGGAGAGCGGCGUGCUUGCAGCGGCCGGAGGAGCACAAAACACCUCAAGGAUUCACCGGCCCCGCUGACGGUGACCAACCAAACCAGGGGUGGUGGUGAUGCAGGUGGAGGUACAGUGCAGGGGUACGUGGCAGAGCUCAGCACCCAGGCCAGGGACAGUCUGAGGUGGGAGGGAGCGCUGGAGGACCCCCAGGCUGAGGAGGAGAGGAUGGAGCUGUACAGGGCCAACAGGCGGCAGCGUUACAUCUCACACAGAGAGGCUCUGUUGAAAGAGAGCCAGUGUGCAUUGAGACAGACUUUUCCUACAGAGGGCAAAUAGAAAAGGGGCUUUGAUUGGAUCUGACCAACAGGAGCAAAGGCUGAAUUAAAGGAGCAAAUGAGUGCCUUAUGCUAUUAGACAUCUGAGGCUUUAUUUGUUCACAGAUUAAAACAGAUAAAGGCACAGAAUAAAGAUGGUUGGACUGAGGAGAGAUGGUGCAUAGUGCCAGUUCAGUUUCCUCUGUCGGCUGCAGAAAACAGUGUCACGGCUGUCGGUGGACGAGGGCGGGACGUCCUCCUGUUGAACGGGCCUGUUAAAAACUUAAUAGAGGAUUUGCACAGUUUAUCUGGUGCCUCUAAAUAAUGUAACGCUGACAGAAAAGAACCAAAGUCAGUCUUCCAGGACUGAAACCCAAUCAGGAUAACACCACUGAACCCCCUCACACCUGUGUGUCCGCAGGUCGCUGAGGUAGAGGAGGGUUAAAUGGAUGACAGGUCACAUGAUGAACAGUUUUCUUUCUUCUUCUUCUUCAUCUUCUUCUUCUUCUUCUUCUUCUUUUUUAAAUACCCAGGAAGCCCUCCAUCAGGGUGUGUGUGGAGCUGUUUAACUGAAAUGUAAAUGUGACUGUAACAAUGUUCUACUGUGUUGCCUCUGUCUAAUAAAAUGUGUUUAGAUAUUUAAACUGUUGAGUGUCUCAGCUGAUCUAAUGUGCAAAAUCCUGAAUCCAGGUCUGGACAUGACCCCUUCACUUUUUACUGUCUUUCUGCACUUUACUGUUUAACUUAAAAAGCAAAUUUAAAGAAAGAAUUUAAAAGGGAAAUAUUUAAAAAGUUGGGAUGCAUUGAUAUUUCAGCUGAACAUCUGUUUCAGCUGAUAUUCUGCAUGGGAUGUCGUUAUGGAGAAACAAUUACAAUUUAUAGGUAGUUUUAAAGCUAAUUAAUAAAAUAAAACAAAAACAAUCAAAAGCAAAAAACAUCAGUGUUGACUCAGAAUCUAAAAAUCAGUGCAUCAACCCCAAAUACAAUAAAAAAAAGACUAAAAUCUUACGUUCAGUCUGAACUUCUGCUUGAACAGCAGCAGUGGUGUAUUAAUAUUUUCAGUGAAAUGUUCUGACUUCGUUGCCCUGUUAAACAGAAAUCGAUCACUAUGAUCAGUGUUGUAAACUUCAAAGGU
rnacentral:lncRNA from 1 species